AAUGGGCACAAGCCUGAUCCAGCCAUGCCGCGUGAGUGAUGAAGGCCCUAGGGUUGUAAAGAUCAAUCUCCUGUGAAGAUAAUGACGGUAGCAGGUAAAGAAACCCCGGCUAACUCCGUGCCAGCAGCCGCGGUAAUACGGAGGGGGUUAGCGUUGUUCGGAAUUACUGGGCGUAAAGCGCGCGUAGGCGGAUUAGUAAGUCAGAGGUGAAAUCCCAGGGCUCAACCCCGGAACUGCCUUUGAUACUGCUAGUCUUGAGUUCGAGAGAGGUAAGUGGAAUUCCGAGUGUAGAGGUGAAAUUCGUAGACAUUCGGAGGAACACCAGUGGCGAAGGCGGCUUACUGGCUCGAUACUGACGCUGAGGUGCGAAAGUGUGGGGAGCAAACAGGAUU
rnacentral:rRNA from 1 species